GUUGACCUCGGAUCAGGUAGGGAUACCCGCUGAACUUAAGCAUAUCAAUAAGCGGAGGAAAAGAAACCAACUGGGAUUGCCUUAGUAACGGCGAGUGAAGCGGCAAUAGCUCAAAUUUGAAAGCUGGCCCCUUUGGGGUCCGCGUUGUAAUUUGUAGAGGAUGAUUCGGCGAGGGCUCCCGUCUAAGUCCCUUGGAACAGGGCGUCAUAGAGGGUGAGAAUCCCGUAUGUGAUGGGCUGCCUUAGCCAUGUGAAUCUCCUUCGACGAGUCGAGUUGUUUGGGAAUGCAGCUCUAAAUGGGAGGUAAAUUUCUUCUAAAGCUAAAUACCGGCCAGAGACCGAUAGCGCACAAGUAGAGUGAUCGAAAGAUGAAAAGCACUUUGGAAAGAGAGUUAAAAAGUACGUGAAAUUGUUGAAAGGGAAGCGCUUGCAGCCAGACUUGUCCGCAGUUGCUCAGCUUGUCUCCUGACAGGCGUACUCUUCUGCGGCCAGGCCAGCAUCAGUUCGGGCGGUCGGAUAAAGACCUGGGGAAUGUAGCUCCUCUCGGGGAGUGUUAUAGCCCCGGGUGCAAUGCGGCCAGCCUGGACUGAGGAUCUCGCUUCGGCUAGGAUGCUGGCGUAAUGGCUGUAAGCGGCCCGUCUUGAAACACGGACCAAGGAGUCUAACAUCUAUGCGAGUGUUUGGGUGUCAAACCCAUGCGCGUAAUGAAAGUGAACGGAGGUGGGAACCCUCACGGGUGCACCAUCGACCGAUCCUGAUGUCUUCGGAUGGAUUUGAGUAAGAGCAUAGCUGUUGGGACCCGAAAGAUGGUGAACUAUGCCUGAAUAGGGUGAAGCCAGAGGAAACUCUGGUGGAGGCUCGCAGCGGUUCUGACGUGCAAAUCGAUCGUCAAAUUUGGGUAUAGGGGCGAAAGACUAAUCGAACCAUCUAGUAGCUGGUUCCUGCCGAA
rnacentral:rRNA from 1 species